rnacentral:rRNA from 1 species
AUGCUCAACGUGGCCAAGCUGCUCCACGCCCGGGGCUUCGACGUCACCUUCGUCAACACCGAGUACAACCACGCCCGCCUCGUCCGCUCCCGCGGCGCCGCCGCCGUGGCCGGCCUCCCGGGCUUCCGCUUCGCCACCAUCCCGGACGGCCUGCCGCCAUCCGGCGACGACGACGUCACGCAAGACAUCCCCGCGCUCUGCAAGUCCACCACCGAGACCUGCCUCGGGCCGUUCCGCGACCUCCUCACCCGGCUCAACGACCCUGCCACGGGUAACCCGCCCGUCACCCGCGUCGUCUCUGACGUCGUCAUGGGGUUCUCCAUGGAGGCCGCCAACGAGCUCGGCCUCCCCUACGUCCAGCUCUGGACCGCCAGCGCCAUCAGCUACCUCGGGUACCGCCACUACCGCCUCCUCAUCGGCCGUGGCCUCGCCCCACUCAAAGACGCCGAGCAGCUGACGAACGGAUACCUUGACACGCCGGUGGAGGACGUGCCGGGGCUGAGGAGCAUGAGGCUCGGGGACUUCCCGUCCUUCAUACGCACCACGGACCCGGACGAGUACAUGGUGCACUACGUCCUGCGGGAGACGGAGCGCACGGCCGGUGCGUCGGCCGUCAUCCUCAACAGCUUCGACGACCUGGAGGGCGAGGCGGUGCAGGCCAUGGAGGCGCUCGGCCUGCCCAAGGUCUACACGCUCGGCCCGCUCCCGCUGCUGGCGCACAAGGAGUCGCCCUCGCCGCGCUCCGCCAUCAACCUCAGCCUCUGGAAGGAGCAGGACGAGUGCCUGCAGUGGCUGGACGGCAGGGAGCCCGGCUCCGUCGUCUACGUCAACUUCGGCAGCAUCACCGUCAUGACCAACGCGCAAAUGGUGGAGUUCGCGUGGGGCCUGGCGCAGAGCGGGAAGCAGUUCAUGUGGAUCGUCCGCCGAGACCUGGUGAAGGGCGACGCCGCGGUGCUCCCCGAGGAGUUCCUGGCCGAGACGGCGGGGCGCGAGCUCAUGGCGUCCUGGUGCCCGCAGCAGCAGGUGCUCGACCACCCCGCCGUGGGCGCCUUCCUGACGCACAGUGGCUGA